UGAAGGUCGGAAGUGGGGGUUUGCCAUGAUUUUGUCAUGGCUCCUCCUAAAUGUGUUAGCUUACUGGUGAUGAGCCGCUGUCAGCUUGAUAUCAUGUCUAUGCUUCAGUCGUUCAUGUGCCACAGCUACAGUCGUCCUCUUCUGGACAAUUUUUUCUGAGCUCGGGCCUCAAAUCAGGUAGGACUACCCGCUGAACUUAA
rnacentral:misc_RNA from 1 species